UGAUUCCAUUCAGUCAGCGUCCUUGUUUUUCCACGUAUUUCUUUCUCACGGAGUUUACCGCCUGACCAACGUUCCUGGUAAUGGAUCACCCUCCACCUGCCAACAAAGAGACAACAAAUCUUGAACAAGAUCCUUCUUCCGUGGUCACCGAUCAACCAAAAGCAGAACAUGCUGAACAAGAUCCUCACGCCGACAAGACCGAACAGACCGUCCACGGUGUCAUGGAAUGUAUUGAGUGUUGCUGUUGCUGCCUUGAGCUUGCGGAACUUCUUGAAUAACUAUUCGAUCCAUCCAUCUUUUCAUCUUAGGCCUUUUUAAAAUGUGUUUAAAGACCCACAUUUUUUGACUUGCUUUCUCCUGACUAGGGUACCCUGUUUUUUUUCCCCCUUUGGGCUUUAAUGUGUUUGGAUUCUAUCCGUUUUAUUGAUUUAUUAGUUGUCUUCUGGCACAACGCAUUGUUUAUUUAUUUGAUUUAUCUGUUCUGAAUGUUACUGUAUGAUACUUUCCUGCCUUUUAUUUAUAAUGGCCUGUAGUUUGCUUUGUUGUAAAGUACUCUGAGGACUUCUCAGGUUGUUGUAACGAACUCUAUAAAUUUUAUUUGACUAUGAUUUGACCUCUGACACAUCUCAAGUGAUCAUCAGGUAUAAGAACCUCAAGCUUUCUAUUGCCUGAACUUUUUAUGUCUGAAAGAACCCCCAAAGAACACUGGGUACAAAAAAAUAUUUAUAUUUUCAAAUUUGACUUCACUGAGAUGCCUCACGUUAGGCAUGUUUUCCAGCUCCAAAUGACUACUUAUUAAAAUUUUUAUUAUUUAUUAAAAACAUAACAGGUUGAUAAAAUUUGAGUUUGGUUCACUUAUCAUAUUUAAUUAAGUUGUAUAUUAGUAUUGAGAGUGCAGUUUAGCAAUAACAGGUUAAGUGCAUGACCAUAUAUAUCUGUAUCCGUUUGAUAACGAUAUUGGAUUUUUGGAGUAAUACAAUAUCAAGAUAUCGGUUAGUGGUUAAAAAGACAUUAUCGGACAACUCAACUCAGCACCAUAGUUUCUGCUUACUUAGUGCAUAGUGCUUGUCUGUGUUUGUGCGCUCACUUUUUCCACGUUAUAGCCCCUGAAGACAAAGCUGGGUCUUCUAGGUCUAGCCAAAAGAAAAGUAAAUACCAAUAAAACAAAGCUUAUCGGCAUAAUAGGAAUGGAGAAAGGAGAGACACCAGAAAGACUUAUGCUGUGUACAAGGCAAAUCCGCAAAACCAAACAACUUCCGGUUCAUGUAUAGAAGGUUAAUACUUGAGCAAUAAAAGUAGCCAGACAGAUACUCUUUAUAGGUUCAAAAAGUUAAAUAAUGACCUAACUUAAGUAAAAUAGCUACAGAACAAUGCAAUAUUUAAAAGAAAGCAUCCAUGAUGAUGAAACAGAAAAAAGAAUUUAUCACUACGACGCUAAGACAGAAUGGUUCCCGGUGCACACAUUAUUUGAAUGUUGCUUUAAAUACUUGUUAAAACUCUUCUUUAAAAUCAUUAAAUUCAUUCAUUUCGUUUUAGCCUAGCGCUUUGAUUAAUACUAGUAAAGAUUGCUUUAGAUGUCUCUUUUAAACGUGACAGAACGUGAUGUAACUUCUAUGAACCACAGUAAAGCAAAAACACCUAUUGAAUAGUAUAAAAGUCUUCAAAAGUCAGAAUCCUUUAACUUGUAGUGCAAGGCCAUGCAGAGACCGAUAGAGGGCCAGGUGUUCAUAGAUCAAAAGGGGCACAUGAACAAGAAUUUAAUACACCUUAACCAGCUUUACAUGAUAAUUGGCUGUAACAGACUUUAAUUGGAAGGGGGGAUAGUGAAUAGCUAUCAACACUGUCAUCAACACUUUCUGCCUGUGACUCAAUCAGUCUUUGCCUGUUUUCUUCCUUCAACCUCAAUAUCAAAACUUCCUUACUCAACUUGUUAUUCAUCUGAAAACAAACCAAGUUAGAUGUUCACUGAGCCACCAUCAGCACUGUUUUUUCAAAAUUAUUUCAUUGUUAGAGAAUUUAGAGAUGUGUACCUUUCUAGAUAACGUUGUAAAGAGAAAACUGGAGUUUCCUCCCACAUUCCAAAAAUCCCCAGGCACGGGGAGAACAUGCAAACUCCACACAGAAAGGCCGAAGCCAAAGAUUGAACCCUUGAUCUCAGAACUGUGAGGCAGACGUGCUAACCAGUCAGCCACCGUACCGCCACUUAUACCACAGUUUAAGGAAAACAAGCAGAAUAUACUAGUAGGGCAGAAAAGAUACACGACGCCUUCUUAUGACAGAAGCCCAAAGUGAGCACCAACUCUCGCAAUCAGUUCUCCAGGACAGUCCAGAACAAAUGGCGGGACAUUCUGUCCCAACACAAGGAGCACCGGAGAACGCCCGAUAUCCAACUGAUAACACGACUGAAAAGACUCCAAGAACCCCUUUGACGCUGAGGUGGCAAAAUCCACAACCUUCGUUGCCCGGACAACAGUAACUCCCGAAUCCUCCUGUUCAAUCCACAAACAGACAAUAAUACCAAACACACCCUUCUUCCUGCCCACAGCCCACCCCGCGAGAGCCUUCAAAAGACUGAAUGUUUAACUGAUCGUUGUCAUUUUUUCUUGGGAACCUUUUACUGAAAUCUGAUAUGAUGACCUUGGAACGACUUUGCCUCCUCGCCUGAGUCUGUGCCUGUUUCGCCUUUCUGUUUGAUCACUGUCGAUCCGAAUAAAUUCUCAACUUGUU